CAGUUAUUGUAGACAAUAGUCGGUAAUUUAGAGCAUAAUUUUUCAAUUUUUUUACGAUUUUUAGUGGACUAAAGUUUAAAAACUUUUUACAAAAACGAUUUGGAUCAGUGUGAUAUAGAUGUCGAUAUAGAGAAAAUAUUAUUCACCCAGUUUACCCCCCACCCCAAACUAAAGCAGACAAAACCACAACUUCAAUCAGAUGGGGCGCAACCAACACUUCUUCAAACAAAACAAGCAGCGUACGGAAUGAAAUCAAGAAAUUACGGGAAGAAGUAUCCCAAUCAACCAGGAUUGAAGGGAAAGGGCCCUCUCAAGAAAUAAAUGCUUUUAAACUUCAGUUUGAUUAGGGGAAUGCUAUAUUGAUUGCACCAAUAUGGAAGACUCAGAGCUGGUGGCCACGCUUUAUAAGCCCACUGAAUCAGGAUUGGAUUCAACUACCAUCCCCACAGAGAAUUCUACGUUUACUUCACAAACCAGAGGUUCGCCAUCCGUUGAAGCAAAUGAGGAUGGGAGCUUUUCCUAUAUCGGGGAAGCAUUACGGAAACAAGGAUUUUCAAAUUAUUCAGUGGAAGUCAUAAUAACUUCUUGGCGAACAUCAACACAGAAGACAUAUAGUUACAGUGACCAUGACCUUGACUCUAGGGACCCAAAACGCAAUCCCAUAAAAGGAAUUCAUACACUCUUCUGUUGGACCAAUUUUGGUCAUGAUAUGUGAACCGUGACUUAGAAGUCAUUGAGUUUCAACCCUUUUUCUAUUUUUAGUAACAGCAACCAUAACCUUGACUCAAGGGGCCCCAAACACAAUCCCAUGAAAAUUAUCCAUAAACUCUUCAUAUAGACUAAGUUUGGUCAAGAUAUGACAAUUGAUACUGAAAUUAUUCAGUUUCAACUGUUUUACUAUUAUAAGUAUCAGUGACCUUUAUCCUUGACCAUAGGGACCCCAAACACUGUAUCCCAUGAAAAGUAUCUAUACACUCUUCCUUUAUACCAAGUUGGGUCAAGAUAAGUCCACCUUAACUAAAAUUAAUCAGUUUCAAUUGUUUUUCUAUUUUUAGUUACAGUGACCUUGACCCUAAGGUCACUUAACACAAUCCCAUGAAAGGUAUCCAUAUACUCCUCCUUUAUACCAAGUUGGGUAAAAAAAAAUGGCAACCAUAACUAAAGUUAUUCAGUUUCAAUUGUUUUUUUCUGUUUUUAGUAACAGUGACCUUGACCUUAACUCUAGAGACCCAAAACGCAGUCCAAUGAAAGGUAUUCAAUAACUCUUCCUUUAUACCAAGUUUCAACUGUUUAUCUAUUUUUAGAAACAGUGACCUUGUCCUUGAUCCUAGGGGCCCAAUACACAAUCCCAUGAAAGGUAUCCAUACACUCUUAAAUUACCAGGUUUGGACAAGAUAUAUUUGAACCAUGACUUAGAAGUUAUUCAGUUUCAACCGUUUGUCUAUUUUUAGUAAUAGUGACCAUGAACUUGAAUCUAGGGACCCCAAACGCAAUCCCAUGAAAGGUAUCCAUAAACUCUUCCUUUAGACCAAGUUUGGUCAAGGUAUGUGAAUCGUGACUUGGAAGUUAUUUAGUUUCAACUGUUUUUCUAUUUGAGUAACAGUGACUUUGACCUUGACUGGAAGGACCCCAAACGCAAUUCCAUGAAAGGUAUUCAUAAACUCUUCCUAUAGAUUGAGCUUGUUCAAGAUAUGUCAACCCUUACUUAAAUUAUUCAGUUUCAUAGGUGAGUUUGUUGCCGCCAGGCCACCCGCCCGGACACCCUCCCGCCAGAACAACUUCUGUGUGAAAUUUGAGAUAUUUUAAGUUCGUAGAUCACUGACAUUUGAUAUAUUCAGCAUAUUUUAUAAUUGUUUUUCUUCAUUCCAUCAUUCUGCAUGCCUCUGCAUCAAUAUGUUAUAUUAAUUUAUAAUUGCUUUUAAAUAUUUAUCUUAACUGUGAUCUAUUCAAAUGUGUCUUCCUGUUAUGGAGCACCCUUUUCUGCAAGGGGCCACAAUAAAGAUAAAGGAUUCUUAAA